rnacentral:ncRNA from 1 species
UAAAAAACGUUGAGCGGAAGAGUAGAUUAGCAUCACUUUAAGGGAGUUUGCGGGUAGUGUGAGCAAACAGUGGUGUUAGUUGAAACACAUCUGUGAGUGUAUGAUUGAAUCGAGUAGGUCAUAUCGGUUUUGCCCGUUAUCGCAAACAGUCUUUUGACUUAUUGAGGCAACUACCAGUGAUGGUUUUGCGAUAAGAGGUGGCACCGCGGAAAACGCCCUCUGAAUACAGCUGUAUUCAGAGGGCGUUUUUGCAACCAUUAAACCAAAAGACUGACGGAGUAAUUUUGUGUGAACAAAAUUAGAAUCUGAGGUGGCACCACGCUGACGCGUCCUCUUG